rnacentral:rRNA from 1 species
CUUGGUCAUUUAGAGGAAGUAAAAGUCGUAACAAGGUUUCCGUAGGUGAACCUGCGGAAGGAUCAUUAAAGAAUCGCCCCGUUUUUUGAAAUGGGUUCUAUUCCCAAACCGUGUCUACAUACCUUUGUUGCUUUGGCAGGCCGCCGCUUCGGCGUUGGCUCCGGCUGACUGUGCCUGCCAGAGGACCCAAACUCGUUUGUUUAGUGAUGUCUGAGUACUAUAUAAUAGUUAAAACUUUCAACAACGGAUCUCUUGGUUCUGGCAUCGAUGAAGAACGCAGCGAAAUGCGAUAAGUAAUGUGAAUUGCAGAAUUCAGUGAAUCAUCGAAUCUUUGAACGCACAUUGCGCCCCUUGGUAUUCCGAGGGGCAUGCCUGUUCGAGCGUCAUUAUAACCACUCAAGCCUCGGCUUGGUCUUGGGGUUCGCGGUCUCGCGGCUCUUAAACUCAGUGGCGGUGCCGUCUGGCUCUAAGCGUAGUAAAUCUCUCGCUAUAGGGUCCCGACGGUUCCCUGCCAGAACCCCCUAAUUUUUUUACGGUUGACCUCGGAUCAGGUAGGGAUACCCGCUGAACUUAAGCAUAUCAAUAAGCGGAGGA